rnacentral:rRNA from 1 species
AUUGAACGCUGGCGGCAGGCCUAACACAUGCAAGUCGAGCGAGCGGCGGACGGGUGAGUAAUGUCUGGGAAACUGCCUGAUGGAGGGGGAUAACUACUGGAAACGGUAGCUAAUACCGCAUACCAUCAGAUGUGCCCAGAUGGGAUUAGCUAGUAGGUGGGGUAACGGCUCACCUAGGCGACGAUCCCUAGCUGGUCUGAGAGGAUGACCAGCCACACUGGAACUGAGACACGCUCCAGACUCAUACGGGAGGCAGCAGUGGGGAAUAUCGCACAAGGGGAGCAAGCCUGAGGGAGCCAUGCCGCGUGUAUGAAGAGGGCCUUGGGGGUGUAAAGUACUUUCAGCGGGCAGGCGUACCCCACAGAAGAAGCACCGGCUAACUACGUGCAAGCAGCCGCGGUAAUC